GAUGAACGCUAGCUACAGGCUUAACACAUGCAAGUCGAGGGGAAACGGCAUUGAGUGCUUGCACUCUUUGGACGUCGACCGGCGCACGGGUGAGUAACGCGUAUCCAACCUUCCCAUUACUGUGGGAUAACCUGCCGAAAGGCAGACUAAUACCGCAUAGUCUUCGAUGACGGCAUCAGAUUUGAAGUAAAGAUUUAUCGGUAAUGGAUGGGGAUGCGUCUGAUUAGCUUGUUGGCGGGGUAACGGCCCACCAAGGCGACGAUCAGUAGGGGUUCUGAGAGGAAGGUCCCCCACAUUGGGACUGAGACACGGUCCAAACUCCUACGGGAGGCAGCAGUGAGGAAUAUUGGUCAAUGGACGGAAGUCUGAACCAGCCAAGUAGCGUGCAGGAUGACGGCCCUAUGGGUUGUAAACUGCUUUUGUAUGGGGAUAAAGUUAGGGACGUGUCCCUAUUUGCAGGUACCAUACGAAUAAGGACCGGCUAAUUCCGUGCCAGCAGCCGCGGUAAUACGGAAGGUCCAGGCGUUAUCCGGAUUUAUUGGGUUUAAAGGGAGCGUAGGCUGGAGAUUAAGUGUGUUGUGAAAUGUAGACGCUCAACGUCUGAAUUGCAGCGCAUACUGGUUUCCUUGAGUACGCACAACGUUGGCGGAAUUCGUCGUGUAGCGGUGAAAUGCUUAGAUAUGACGAAGAACUCCGAUUGCGAAGGCAGCUGACGGGAGCGCAACUGACGCUUAAGCUCGAAGGUGCGGGUAUCAAACAGG
rnacentral:rRNA from 1 species